GACGAACGCUGGCGGCGUGCUUAACACAUGCAAGUCGAACGGAAAGGCCCUGCUUUUGUGGGGUGCUCGAGUGGCGAACGGGUGAGUAACACGUGAGUAACCUGCCCUUGACUUUGGGAUAACUUCAGGAAACUGGGGCUAAUACCGGAUAGGAGCUCCUGCUGCAUGGUGGGGGUUGGAAAGUUUUGGCGGUUGGGGAUGGACUCGCGGCUUAUCAGCUUGUUGGUGGGGUAGUGGCUUACCAAGGCUUUGACGGGUAGCCGGCCUGAGAGGGUGACCGGCCACAUUGGGACGGAGAUACGGCCCAGACUCCUACGGGAGGCAGCAGUGGGGAAUAUUGCACAAUGGGCGGAAGCCUGAUGCAGCAACGCCGCGUGCGGGAUGACGGCCUUCGGGUUGUAAACCGCUUUCGCCUGUGACGAAGCGUGAGUGACGGUAAUGGGUAAAGAAGCACCGGCUAACUACGUG
rnacentral:rRNA from 1 species